rnacentral:rRNA from 1 species
UGGGGAAUCUUGCGCAAUGCGCGAAAGCGUGACGCAGCAACGCCGCGUGAGGGAAGACGGCCUUCGGGUUGUAAACCUCUUUCAGGGGGGACGAAGGUUCGGCGGUUAAUAGCCGUUCGGACUGACGGUACCCCCAGAAGCAGCCCCGGCUAACUACGUGCCAGCAGCCGCGGUAAUACGUAGGGGGCAAGCGUUGUCCGGAAUCAUUGGGCGUAAAGGGCGCGUAGGCGGCCCAGUAAGUCCGUUGUAAAAGUCAAAGGCUCAACCUUUGAAUGCCGAUGGAUACUGCUGGGCUAGAGUCCGGAAGAGGCGAGUGGAAUUCCUGGUGUAGCGGUGGAAUGCGCAGAUAUCAGGAGGAACACCAAUAGCGAAGGCAGCUCGCUGGGACGGUACUGACGCUGAGGCGCGAAAGCGUGGGGAGCAAACAG